rnacentral:rRNA from 1 species
AGAGUUUGAUCCUGGCUCAGAACGAACGCUGGCGGCGCGUCUUAAGCAUGCAAGUCGAGCGGGAUUGGGUAGCUUGCUAUCCAUGAGAGCGGCGGACUGGUGAGUAACGCGUGGGUGACGUACCCUGAGGAUGGGGAUAGCCGAUAGAAAUAUCGGAUAAUACCGAAUACGGUGUGGAGAGUUAGAGACUUUACAUCAAAGCUUCUUUUGAAGCGCCCCAGGAGCGGCCCGCGUACUAUUAGCUGGUUGGUGAGGUAACGGCCCACCAAGGCGACGAUAGUUACCCGGCCUGAGAGGGUGAACGGGCACAUUGGGACUGAGAUACGGCCCAGACUCCUACGGGAGGCAGCAGCUAAGAAUAUUCCGCAAUGGAGGAAACUCUGACGGAGCGACGCCGCGUGGACGAUGAAGGCCGGAAGGUUGUAAAGUCCUUUUAGAUAUGAGGAAUAAGUAAGGUGAGAGAAACGCCUUAUGGUGACUGUAGUAUCAGAAUAAGGGGCGGCUAAUUACGUGCCAGCAGCCGCGGUAACACGUAAGCCCCGAGCGUUGUUCGGAAUUAUUGGGCGUAAAGGGCAUGUAGGCGGCUUUGCAAGUCUGGUGUGAAAGGCGGGGGCUUAACCCCCGGACUGCGCUGGAAACUGCAUGGCUUGAGUCACUGAGGGGCAACCGGAAUUCCUGGUGUAGGGGUGAAAUCUGUAGAUAUCAGGAAGAACACCGAUGGCGAAGGCAGGUUGCCAGCGGAUGACUGACGCUGAGGUGCGAAGGUGCGGGGAGCAAACAGGAUUAGAUACCCUGGUAGUCCGCACAGUCAACGAUGUACACCAGGUGUCCGCUCAUGAGAGUGGGUGCCGAAGCAAACGCGAUAAGUGUACCGCCUGGGGAGUAUGCCCGCAAGGGUGAAACUCAAAGGAAUUGACGGGGGCCCGCAC